rnacentral:rRNA from 1 species
GAUGAACGCUGGCGGCGUGCUUAACACAUGCAAGUCGAACGAUGAAGCCCAGCUUGCUGGGUGGAUUAGUGGCGAACGGGUGAGUAACACGUGAGUAACCUGCCCUUGACUCUGGGAUAAGCCUGGGAAACUGGGUCUAAUACUGGAUAUGACUUCUCAUCGCAUGGUGGGGGGUGGAAAGAUUUAUUGGUCUUGGAUGGACUCGCGGCCUAUCAGCUUGUUGGUGAGGUAAUGGCUCACCAAGGCGACGACGGGUAGCCGGCCUGAGAGGGUGACCGGCCACACUGGGACUGAGACACGGCCCAGACUCCUAUGGGAGGCAGCAGUGGAGAAUAUUGCACAAUGGGCGCAAGCCUGAUGCAGCGACGCCGCGUGAGGGAUGACGGCCUUCGGGUUGUAAACCUCUUUCAGUAGGGAAGAAGCGAGAGUGACGGUACCUGCAGAAGAAGCGCCGGCUAACUACGUG